UAAUACCUGGAAGUUGAGGGAGGGCUGUUGGCCUGCUGCUGUGCUGCUGAACAGUAUGCAGUCCUUUCGGGAGCAAAGCAGUUACCACGGAAACCAACAGAGCUACCCACAGGAGGUACACAGCUCAUCCCGUGUAGAAGAGUUCAGCCCUCGUCAAGCCCAGAUGUUCCAGAAUUUUGGGGGAGCAAACAGUGGCAGUGGUGGCACUGGCAGCAACAGUAGUGGACGGCGAGGAACAGCAGCUGCUACUGCAACCAUGGCUAGUGAGACCUCUGGCCAUCAAGGCUACCAGGGUUUCAGAAAAGAAGCUGGAGAUUUUUACUACAUGGCAGGCAACAAAGACCCUGUGGCAGCAGGAACCCCACAGCCUCAGCGAAGGCCUUCUGGUCCUGUGCAGAGCUAUGGACCUCCCCAGGGGAGCAGCUUUGGCAAUCAGUAUGGGAGUGAGGGUCAUGUGAGCCAAUUUCAAGCACAGCACUCUGCCCUUGGUGGUGUUUCUCAUUAUCAGCAGGAUUACACAGGGCCUUUCUCUCCUGGGAGUGCUCAGUAUCAACAGCAGGCCUCCAGCCAACAGCAGCAGCAACAGCAACAGCAGCAACAACAACAGCAGCAACAGCAGCAAGUACAGCAGUUGAGACAGCAGCUUUACCAAUCCCAUCAACCUCUGCCCCAAGCCACUGGACAGCCAGCUUCUGGCUCAUCCCAUCUACAACCAAUGCAGCGACCCUCCACUCUGCCAUCUUCUGCUGGUUAUCAGUUAAGAGUGGGUCAGUUUGGCCAACACUACCAGUCUUCUGCUUCCUCCUCUUCCUCUUCCUCCUUUCCUUCACCACAGCGUUUCAGUCAGUCUGGACAAAGCUAUGAUGGCAGUUACAGUGUGAAUGCUGGAUCCCAGUAUGAAGGUCAUAAUGUGGGUUCUAAUGCACAGGCUUAUGGAACACAAUCAAAUUAUAGCUAUCAGCCUCAGUCUAUGAAGAAUUUUGAACAGACAAAGAUUCCACCAGGAACCCAGCAGGGGCAGCAGCAGCAGCAGCAGCCACAGCAACAGCCACAACCUCAGCAGCAGCAACAGCAGCAGCAGCCACAGCAACAACAGCAACAUCCCCCCCAGCAUGUGAUGCAGUACACCAAUGCUGCCACCAAGCUGCCCCUGCAGACCCAGGUGGGGCAGUACAAUCAGCCUGAGGUUCCUGUAAGGUCCCCUAUGCAGUUUCACCAGAACUUCAGCCCUAUUUCUAACCCUUCUCCAGCUGCUUCUGUGGUUCAGUCUCCAAGCUGUAGCUCUACCCCUUCUCCUCUCAUGCAGAGUGGUGAGAAUCUUCAGUGUGGGCAAGGCAGUGUGGCCAUGAGUUCCAGAAACCGAAUUUUACAGCUAAUGCCCCAACUCAGUCCAACCCCAUCAAUGAUGCCUAGUCCUAAUUCUCAUGCUGCAGGAUUCAAAGGAUUUGGAUUAGAAGGCGUGCCCGAAAAGCGAUUGACGGAUCCUGGGUUGAGUAGUUUGAGUGCUCUGAGUACUCAAGUGGCCAAUCUUCCUAAUACUGUCCAGCACAUGUUACUUUCUGAUGCCUUGACACCUCAGAAGAAGACUUCCAAGAGGCCCUCAUCAUCAUCCAAGAAAGCAGAUAGCUGUACAAACUCAGAAGGCUCUUCACAGCCUGAAGAACAGCUAAAGUCCCCUAUGGCAGAGUCAUUGGAUGGAGGUUGUUCCAGUAGUUCGGAAGAUCAAGGUGAGAGAGUGAGGCAACUAAGUGGUCAGAGCACUAGCUCUGACACCACUUACAAGUGUGGAGCUUCAGAGAAAGCUGGCUCCUCACCAACACAAGGUGCUCAGAACGAGGCCCCUAGGCUCAGUACCAGUCCUGCAGCUAGGGAAGAAGCUGCCUCUCCAGGUGCUAAGGACACACCGCUGUCUGAGGGGAACACAAAAGUCAAUGAGAAGACAAUUGGGGUGAUUGUCUCCCGGGAAGCCAUGACAGGUCGGGUAGAAAAAUCUGGUGGACAAGAUAAAGGAUCCCAAGAGGAGGAUCCUGCUGCCAGUCAGAGGCCACCUAGCAAUAGUGGUACAAAGGAAGCCAGCCACAUUUCACUGUCACAACCAGAUCCUCCAGGAGGAGGGAGCAAAGGAAACAAGAAUGGUGAUAAUAGCUCUAGCCACAAUGGAGAGGGGAAUAGCCAAAGUAGCCACUCUGCAGUAGGCCCAACUUUCACAGGCAGGACUGAGCCUAACAAAUCUCCUGGAAGUUUGCGCUACAGUUACAAAGAGAGUUUUGGAUCAGCUAUACCACGAAAUGUCAGUGGUUUUCCUCAGUAUCCUUCAGGACAAGAAAAGGGGGAUUUUACCAGCCAUGGGGAACGAAAGGGUAGAAAUGAGAAGUUCCCAAGCCUCCUACAGGAAGUACUUCAGGGUUACCACCACCAUCCUGACAGAAGGUAUCCGAGAAGUGCUCAGGAACAUCAAGGGAUGACUAGUGCCCUGGAAGGAACUGCAAGGCCCAACAUCUUAGUCAGUCAAACCAAUGAAUUAGCCAGCAGGGGCCUUCUGAACAAGAGCAUCGGAUCCCUGUUAGAAAAUCCCCAUUGGGGACCAUGGGAAAGGAAGUCAGGCGGCACAGCUCCUGAAAUGAAACAGAUCAAUUUGUCUGACUAUCCCAUUCCCAGAAAGUUUGAGAUAGAGCCUCCAUCAUCAGCCCAUGAGCCUGGAGGCUCCCUUUCUGAAAGGAGGUCAGUGAUCUGUGAUAUUUCUCCACUAAGACAGAUUGUCAGGGAUCCAGGGGCUCACGCAUUGGGACAUAUGGGUGCUGAUGCCCGAAUUGGGAGGAAUGAGCGUCUCAACCCAAGUUUAAGUCAGUCAGUCAUUCUUCCAGGUGGGUUGGUGUCCAUGGAAACAAAGCUGAAAUCCCAGAGUGGGCAGAUAAAAGAGGAAGACUUUGAACAAUCCAAAUCUCAAGCUAGUUUCAACAAGAAAUCUGGAGACCACUGCCAUUCUACCAGCAUCAAGCAUGAGUCUUAUCGUGGCAAUGUCAGCCCUGGAGCAGCAGCCCAUGAUUCCAUUUCAGACUAUGGCCCCCAAGACAGUAGGUCCACACCAAUGAGGCGGGUGCCUGGUAGAGUUGGUAGCCGGGAGACUAUGCGGGGUCGGUCUUCUUCUCAGUACCAUGACUUUGCAGAAAAACUGAAAAUGUCUCCAGGCAGGAGCAGAGGUCCAGGGGGAGACCCUCAUCAUAUGAACCCACACAUGACUUUUUCAGAGAGGGCCAACAGGAGUUCUUUACAUGCUCCUUUUUCUCCCAACUCAGAAAGCCUGGCCUCUGCUUACCACACAAACACUAGGGCUCAUGCUUAUGGGGACCCUAAUACUGGUUUGAAUUCCCAGCUCCAUUAUAAGAGACAGAUAUACCAACAGCAACAAGAGGAGUAUAAAGAUUGGACCAGCAGUUCUGCUCAGGGAGUGAUUGCUGCUGCACAGCAUAGGCAAGAAGGGCCACGGAAGAGCCCACGGCAGCAGCAGUUUCUUGACAGAGUACGGAGCCCCCUGAAAAAUGACAAAGAUGGUAUGAUGUAUGGCCCACCAGUAGGGACGUACCAUGACCCAAGCACUCAGGAAGCUGGGCGCUGUCUCAUGUCUAGUGAUGGUUUGCCUACCAAAGGCAUGGAAUUGAAGCACAGCUCUCAGAAGUUACAAGAGUCUUGUUGGGAUCUUUCUCGGCAGACUUCUCCAGCCAAAAGCAGUGGUCCUCCAGGAAUGUCUAAUCAGAAAAGGUAUGGGCCACCCCAUGAGACAGAUGGACAUGUACUAACCGAAUCUACACAGUCAUCCAAACCUAGUAAUGUAAUGCUACGGCUUCCAGGUCAAGAAGAUCAUUCUUCUCAAAAUCCCUUAAUCAUGCGGAGGCGGGUCCGUUCUUUUAUCUCCCCUAUUCCCAGUAAGAGACAGUCCCAAGAUGUAAAAAACAGUAACACUGAUGAUAAAGGGCGCCUCCUUCACCCAUCCAAGGAAGGUGCUGAUAAGGCAUACAAUUCCUACACCCAUCUUUCUCACAGUCAGGAUAUCAAGUCUAUCCCUAAGAGAGAUGCCUCCAAGGAUCUUCCAAAUCCAGACAAUAGAAACUGUCCUGCUGUUACCCUCACGAGCCCUGCCAAGACCAAAAUACUGCCCCCACGGAAGGGACGGGGAUUGAAAUUGGAAGCUAUAGUUCAGAAGAUCACAUCCCCAAAUAUUAGGAGGAGUGCAUCCACGAAUAGUGCUGAGGCUGGGGGAGACACAGUCACACUGGAUGAUAUACUGUCUCUGAAGACUGGUCCUCCUGAAGGUGGGGCUGUGGUUACUCAAGAGACUGAGAUGGAGAAGAGAAAAGGUGAGGUUACUGAUGUAGUCAGUGCAACUAACCAGGAAUCAAAUGUUGAAAAGCCUCUCCCAGGGACUUCUGAAGACUGGCGUGGCAGUGGGGAUGAUAAAGUCAAGACUGAGGUACAUGCAGAAACAGCUCCUGCUGGAAAGGAACCUUCUGGUACUAUGACAUCCACAGCUUCACAGAAGCCUGGUGGUAACCAAGGGAGACCAGAUGGUUCCCUGGGUGGGGCAGCACCACUAAUCUUUCCUGACUCAAAGAAUGUAGCUCCAGUGGGCAUUUUGGCUCCUGAGGCAAACCCCAAGGCUGAAGAGAAAGAGAAUGAAACAGUCAUGAUUUCACCCAAACAAGAAAGUUUCCCCCCAAAAGGGUAUUUCCCAUCAGGAAAGAAAAAGGGGAGACCCAUCGGUAGUGUGAAUAAGCAAAAGAAGCAGCAGCAACCACCACCUCCACCCACUCAACCUCCUCAGAUACCAGAAGGUUCUGCAGAUGGAGAGCCAAAGCCAAAAAAGCAGAGGCAAAGGAGGGAGAGAAGGAAGCCUGGGGCCCAGCCAAGGAAGCGGAAAACCAAACAAGCAGUUCCUAUUGUAGAACCUCAAGAACCAGAGAUCAAACUAAAGUAUGCUACCCAGCCUCUAGAUAAAGCUGAUGCCAAGAACAAGUCUUUUUUCCCUUAUAUCCAUGUAGUAAAUAAGUGUGAACUUGGAGCUGUUUGUACAAUCAUUAAUGCUGAAGAAGAAGAACAGACCAAAUUGGUGAGGAGCCGGAAGGGUCAGAGAUCUCUGACCCCUCCCCCCAGCAGCACGGAAAGCAAGGUGCUCCCAGCUUCAUCCUUUAUGCUACAGGGGCCUGUGGUAACAGAAUCUUCUGUUAUGGGACACCUAGUUUGUUGUCUCUGUGGCAAGUGGGCCAGUUACCGGAACAUGGGUGAUCUUUUUGGACCCUUUUAUCCCCAAGAUUAUGCAGCCACUCUUCCGAAGAAUCCACCUCCUAAGAGGUCCACAGAAAUGCAGAGCAAGGUCAAGGUUCGGCACAAAAGUGCUUCUAAUGGUUCUAAAACAGACACUGAGGAGGAGGAGGAGCAGCAGCAGCAGAAGGAGCAGAGGAGCCUGGCUGCUCAUCCUAGGUUCAAGCGGCGCCACCGCUCAGAAGACUGUGGUGGAGGCCCUCGGUCCCUGUCCAGGGGACUCCCUUGUAAAAAAGCAGCCACUGAGGGCAGCAGUGAAAAGGCUGUUUUGGACACAAAGCCCUCUGUACCUACCACUUCGGAAGGUGGUCCUGAGCUGGAGUUACAAAUUCCUGAACUACCUCUUGACAGCAACGAAUUUUGGGUCCAUGAGGGUUGUAUUCUCUGGGCCAAUGGAAUCUACCUGGUCUGUGGCAGGCUCUAUGGCCUGCAGGAAGCGCUGGAAAUUGCCAGAGAAAUGAAAUGCUCCCACUGCCAGGAGGCUGGCGCUACCUUGGGCUGCUACAACAAAGGCUGCUCCUUCCGAUACCAUUACCCAUGUGCCAUUGACGCAGAUUGUUUGCUGCAUGAGGAGAACUUCUCGGUGAGAUGCCCCAAGCACAAGCCUCCCCUUCCGUGCCCUCUCCUCCCCUUGCAGAACAAGACCGCGAAAGGCAGCCUCAGCACAGAGCAGUCGGAGCGGGGGUGAGGGGGGCAAUGUGCACGUGGGAAUGGACAGCAAGCACAGACACAGCAGGCAUAUUCUCUGUGGAGUGUGCCUUCUUUCUGGAUACAACUGGGAGGUUUUUCAUUUUUGGAAAAAAAUCAAUGUUAAUUUGAAGAACAGUUGAAUUAAUCUAAUAGUAUGUGGUGUUCCUCCUCCAAGAAAAUGUUUAAUUGGUAGUUCAAGUGCUGACUUCAGAGAAGUCUGUUUGCAUUCUACUGUGGGAUAGGUCUGGAUGCAGAUGUGGGCUCCCCCAGACUCCCUGGUGGGGAUGGUGAGACUGUGGAGAUGAGAGAAGGUGGUGGACACACAUGAUGGAAUGGAAUCUUCCUGCUGUGCAACCACACCCCACCCUGCCCUGCCCUGCACCCCCAUUGCGCCUGCCCAUGCCAGCACUUCCUUCAUAUGUUCUCACAUCACACUCAAACUGGUGACACCACAGGAAAGAAAGACACAAGAUGUUGGAAUGGCUGUUUCCAUGGACACAAUCUCCAUAGUGACAAUAUGGGGGAGGGGGGAGGGGGGCUGAAGGGGAAGGGGGGGUUAAAAGGGAGGGAUAAAAAUAUAUAUAUAUAAAUCUAUUUUUAGUCUGGAAAGACUUUGUUUAAAUGAAAGGUGCGCUAUCCCUUUUGAUUCUAUUUUAAAAUUAUCUAGUUAACUCAAAAUUUGUUCCAAUGACAAUGAAAUUUAAAUGUGAAAUUGAAUUGAACAAACUCAUCUCAUGAAGGAUGAGGUGUGACUUUGAUCUUUAGCCUGUCUCACAACAAUUCAGUGAACACUAGACCAGGACUGAAGGAGCAGACAAACGAUAUCACCUUUCCUCUGAUCAGUCUGUCUUACAGGGGAGGUUUGCGGGGAGGGCAGAAGGGGGAUGGUCAUCUUCAAAAGGGGGGGAAUGAUGUUUAAACUCAAAAAUAAAUUUUUUUCCUUUCCAGAAACACUAUUUUUAUUUUUUUUCUUUUUUGGGGGGGUGGUGGUGAAAUUGGGAGAUGCCCCAAGGUCAUGUCUGUGUCCUGCAUCACUGUGGCUCCACCAAGUAGGUAAAGUAGCCUCACAGCAACAGAUAUACUAAGGAAUGGCUUCCCUCUGGCUCCCUCUUUCCUUGACACAUUCCAUGUAGCUGGGACCCAUGUGGACCCACAGAAUCCAUGGAACCCAUGGAGGCCCAGGCCUCUGCUGCUGAAAUAGGCCAGGUCUGGGAGAGAACAGCAUGUGAACCAUUUGGGUGGGUAAAGCUGGCCAGAACCACCCACUCUAACACUUUAUUGCUUUCAUUUUUAUAAUGGAAAAGGGGGCUUGUUAGAUAUGUGGCCCCAUGCUACAUGUAUCUUUAUGUUGUAUUGUUUUGUUUUGUAAAUUGUAUAAUUUUUAAAUAUAUGAGUUUUAAAAAAAGAAAAAAAGUACAAAAAAAAUCUUGUUAAGGCCUUAAGAAGGGAUAUGUGCAUCUUUCAGGGGUCACUCUGCCGUGGGGAUAAAAUAGCUGUUUUACAAACAGUUUUAUUUAAAAAAACAAAAAUCGAAAAAAAAAUCAAAAAAAAAAUCAAAAACAUAAUAAACUUCAUUUUAACCUUGUGUCCUUUUUCAUUUACUUUAAGUGAAUGUGUCUCUUCCUUCUUCAGGACCAGCCUCCCAAAGGGGACCUUGGCUCUGUUUAUUCCCCAGGAGGCCACCAUCAGUCCUUUGUCCCCUGGCCUCUCUAAGUCUAAGUGGUUCUUGUCAGCAGAGCCACGGUUCUUUUCUGCCCCAUGGGACCAUUCUGACUUUUUGAAGUUGACAUGAGGACAUAUUCCCAAUCAGCAUUAAUUUUAAGGAUUGUAAAUGUAUAAUUCAAUGUUAAUGGACUUUUAUUUUUAAGAGAACAGAAGAAAUAUUGGAAAUAGUGUUUUGAGUUGGAAGUAAGUAAUUAUAAAUGAGUUCUAGUGUGUUCAUCAAUUCAGGGCCGCAGAAAUGGCAGGUUAAUUUGCUUUAAUGACUGUACCAAGCAGUGUGGUCUAUUUCUCACCUCACCUGCCUGGAUGGUGGUAUGGAUGUGAGUGGUGUGCUGUGUCAGCCAUGGGACCCUGCUCAGGCAGCUGCCCAAGACCUGAAUAGAAAUGAUAAACACAGCUAAAAUGCAAUUGAUAGAUUUCAGGUGUCAAGGACUAAGUCAUAAAACUUGAAAAAUAUGUAUCUUGAGGAAAAUACUCUCCUGACAGCAGAUGUUUGUCACUUUGCCUUUUGUUCCUUUCUGAUGACACCAGGGCACGGCUUUAGUAUGAUUGUCUGUCUUUCCUUAAACUGAAUUCAGAAAUGAGUCUGAGGUGGGCAGUGGCCCUGUUGGGCUCCUCUUGAUGACAGUUUUCUGAUGUCUGCAGUGCCCUAGCUGACUGUGCCUUUCAGCUCCUGCAGUUUUUAAGGUCAGUGCAUGUGUGUUGUAAUAGAUUUUUUUUUUAAAAGCAGCUUUUGGUUUACUGUUGUAUUGAAUGGAAGAUAAGCUCCUAUGUACCCACAUCCUCCAGUCAUGUGCAGCCUUCCCCGUUAUUAAUGCCACCAGUGAAGGAGCAUGUUUGUUGUAAGUGAUGCACCUACAUCAGGGUUUGCUCUUGGUGCUGUACGCUUUGUGGAUUUGUACAAAUUUAUGGCGUCCAUCUAUUCCCAUUACAGUCUCUUACAGGAUGGUUUGCUCCUCCGUUUCCUCACCAAACCUGUCAACCACUGAUAUUUUUUAUCAUCUUCAUAGUUUUUCCUUUUCUAGACUGUCAUAUAGUUAGAGACGUGUGUAUGUAUGUAUAUAUGUAUGUAUGUAGCCAUUUCAGAUUGGCUGCUUUCAAUUUAGUAAUUCACAUUUAUGGUUUCUUCAUGUGUUUAUGGAUACACAGCUUAAUUCUUUGCUGCUGCCAAAAAUUACUCCAUUGUCUAGAUAUGCCCAGUUUUUCUAGCUUUUUGUUUGCUCAAGGACAUCUUGAUCGCUUCCAGUUUGGGCGCUUAUACGUAGAGCUGCCAUAAAUACUGUGCGGGUUCCUGUGUAGGUAUAAGCUUUCAGAUUAAUGUGUCAUGUGAUAAGGAUAUGUUUUGUUGUAAGUAAUGCUAAACUUCUUUUCAAAUGAAUCUACCAUUUAUAUUCUCAUGACCCAUGAAUGGGAGUUCCUGUUGAUUUACAUCCUCACCAGCGUCUGAAGGUGUCUUUUAUGUUGACUAUGCUUGUAGGUAUGUAGUAGAUUCUUUCCAAUACUCAUUAAAAACUUUAAAUUUUAUUUCA